CCUACGGGUGGCUGCAGUCGAGAAUCAUUCACAAUGGGGGAAACCCUGAUGGUGCGACGCCGCGUGGGGGAAUGAAGGUCUUCGGAUUGUAAACCCCUGUCAUGUGGGAGCAAAUUAAAACGAGAGUACCACAAGAGGAAUAGACGGCUAACUCUGUGCCAGCAGCCGCGGUAAUACAGAGGUCUCAAGCGUUGUGCGGAAUCACUGGGCGUAAAGCGUGCGUAGGCUGUUUCGUAAGUCGGGUGUGAAAGGCGCGGGCUCAACCCGCGGAUGGCACAUGAUACUGGGAGACUAGAGUGAGGGUGGGGGAGCCGGAAUUCUCGGUGUAGCAGUGAAAUGCGUAGAUAUCGAGAAGAACACUCGUGGCGAAGGCAGGUUCCUGGACAGUAACUGACGCUGAGGCACGAAGGCCAGGGGAGCGAAAGGGAUUAGAUACCCGAGUAGUC
rnacentral:rRNA from 1 species